rnacentral:lncRNA from 1 species
CUCUUCAUCACCAUCAAGGUACUGAGAAGUAGGCCUCCUUCUCAAGCACCGUGACCGGCCGACCCGAAGACGGCUCACAGUCACCUCAGUGUACACUAGCCCUGGCAGGAUAGCUAUCAACUGCCUAGGACCCGAUCGUCUCAUCUCAACUCAUCAGUAGAGGGUAAACAUACAAGCUCAGCAUCAUCAUAAAAAUAUUGGCAAGUCAAAAUUUCUCAAACAUCAUCAUAAUCUCAAAACAUCAAACAUCUCAUAAUUUCAUCAUCAUUUAAAAUAGUUCAGAAAAGCUCUUAAAUUGUAUACUCAAAAUAAUGCCCAC